GUCUUUUUUCUCGCUUACUUUGGGGGAACCCGGUGAACUGGGUAAUGGUGUUGAGUACUGGAGGGGAUAUUACCAAAGUCUACGACCUGUACAAAUGGGUCUCUCUUUGAAUAUAGAUGUGUCAGCUAGGUCAUUUUAUGAACCAAUAUGUGUGACAGACUAUGUUGCUAAACACUUCAACCUAAGAAAUUUCUCGAAGCCAAUAUCUGAUCAGGAUUGUCGCAAGAUCCGAAGGGUACUUAAAGGUGUGAAGGUGGCAUUAACGUGUAGGGAGC
rnacentral:misc_RNA from 1 species